UUACAUUACUCGGCCUUUUGGCUAAGAUCAAGUGUAGUAUCUGUUCUUAUCAGUUUAAUCUCUGAUUAAAAAACGCAGAUAACAAAGCCUGUAUCCUUGUUCACUAGAGCUUAAACGUGCCCUUUUUAAAAUGAGAAGCUUUGUCUAGAUGUGAAUUUUCAAACUGUAUUCCAUUACCCAAUCACAAA